ACGGCCGUACGGCCCUGAAUAGGCCUGAUCUCGUCCGCUCUUGGACACUAAGCAGCUUCGGGCUGGGUUAGUGCUUGGAUUCGAGACCGCCUUGGAAUAAAUAGCAGGUGCAGUCU
rnacentral:rRNA from 1 species